rnacentral:rRNA from 1 species
GACGAACGCUGGCGGCGUGCUUAACACAUGCAAGUCGAGCGGAAAGGCCCUUUCGGGGGUACUCGAGCGGCGAACGGGUGAGUAACACGUGAGUAAUCUGCCUCUGGCUUCGGGAUAGCCACCGGAAACGGUGAUUAAUACCGGAUACGACGCAUCACUGCAUGGUGUGUGCGUGGAAAGUUUUUUCGGCUAGGGAUGUGCUCGCGGCCUAUCAGCUUGUUGGUGGGGUAAUGGCCUACCAAGGCUUCGACGGGUAGCCGGCCUGAGAGGGUGACCGGCCACACUGGGACUGAGACACGGCCCAGACUCCUACGGGAGGCAGCAGUGGGGAAUAUUGGACAAUGGGCGGAAGCCUGAUCCAGCAACGCCGCGUGAGGGAUGACGGCCUUCGGGUUGUAAACCUCUUUCAGCACAGACGAAGCGCAAGUGACGGUAUGUGCAGAAGAAGGACUGGCCAACUACGUGCCAGCCGCCGCCGUAAGAC